AUCCCCGCACAUCACAAUGGCAGCUGCACUUUCCAUCUUCAAGAGCUAGAAAAAUUAUGCUGGAAUGUCCGGCGGGCCAGAAUUAGAAGGCCUUAAUUUGCCCAGGUCUGGUCCAUGGUGUGGACUACGGUCUGGAGGAUCUAUCAUAACUUCUGGGUCUCCACAAUAAAAUGUGUUUUAAAGAAACAUCCUAUUAGUCCCACUUGGUGUUUUAGUUGCUCACAAAGCUGCCAUGGAGACCAUGUUUGACCUUCUUCUCCCCAGCAGGGCGGCAACAUCUCCCAUCCUGGUCACAGCCAACCAAUCAGAGGGCGCCGCCUCCUCCCUCCGCUGGACAUAAACACCUCCACAAUUAUCCUCCCUGGGGAGUUGUCGGCACAUCCUAGAGUGGGCCUGCCUGGAAUGUUCACUGAGUGGCUGGUCAACUGGACACAAGACUCUCAUGGUGGAGGAGUAACAGCACUGAAAGUAGACAGAUCAGGGUCAGACUGUCAUCCACAAUUCUUGGAAGCUGCAGAACAACUAAAUG